rnacentral:rRNA from 1 species
UUCUAGUUAAGAUUAGCCAUGCAUGUCUAAGUAUAAGCGACUAUACUGUGAAACUGCGAAUGGCUCAUUAAAUCAGUUAUGGUUUAUUUGAUGGUACCUACUACUCGGAUAACCGUAGUAAUUCUAGAGCUAAUACAUGCAGGAAGACCCGACUCACGAAGGGUUGUACUUAUUAGAUAAGAAACCUUCCCCUUUGGGUUGCGUGCCGAGUCACAAUAACUGCUCGAAUCGCAUGGCUUCACGCCGGCGAUGGUUCAUUCAAAUUUCUGCCCUAUCAGCUUUCGAUGGUAGGAUCGAGGCCUACCAUGGCGUUUACGGGUAACGGAGAAUUAGGGUUCGAUUCCGGAGAGGGAGCCUGAGAGAUGGCUACCACAUCCAAGGAAGGCAGCAGGCGCGUAAAUUGCCCGAAUCCUGACACAGGGAGGUAGUGACAAGAAAUAACAAUACAGGGCUACAUCUAGUCUUGUAAUUGGAAUGAGUACAAUUUACAUCUCUUCACGAGGAUCAAUUGGAGGGCAAGUCUGGUGCCAGCAGCCGCGGUAAUUCCAGCUCCAAUAGCGUAUAUUAAAGUUGUUGCAGUUAGAACGCACGUAGUCGGAUUUCGGGGCGGGCCGACCGGUCUGCCGAUGGGUACGCACUGGUUGGCGCGUCCUUCCUUCCGGAGACCGUUUCUGUUCUUAACUGAAUGGGAGCGGGAGACGGAUCGUUUACUUUGAAAAAAUCAGAGUGUUUCAAGCAGGCAGCUCGCUCUUGCAUGGAUUAGCAUGGGAUAAUGAAAUAGGACUUUGGUGCUAUUUUGU